rnacentral:rRNA from 1 species
CCCAGACUCCUACGGGAGGCAGCAGUGAGGAAUAUUGGUCAAUGGGCGUAAGCCUGAACCAGCCAAGUCGCGUGAGGGACGACGGCCCUACGGGUUGUAAACCUCUUUUGCCGGGGGACAAACGGCGGCACGCGUGCCGUCCUGAGGGUACCCGGAGAAAAAGCAUCGGCCAACUCCGUGCCAGCAGCCGCGGUAAUACGGAGGAUGCGAGCGUUAUCCGGAUUUAUUGGGGUUAAAGGGUGGGGAGGCGGGAGUGCAAGGUCAGCGGGAAAUGCGGGGGCCUAACCCUGGCUCCGCCGUUGAAACUGGCGUGCUUGAGUGGGCGAGAAGUAUGCGGAAUGCGUGGUGUAGCGGUGAAAUGCAUAGAUAUCACGCAGAACUCCGAUUGCGAAGGCAGCAUACCGGAGCGCGACUGACGCUGAGGCACGAAAGCGUGGGUAUCGAACAGGAUUAGAUACCCCCGUA